rnacentral:rRNA from 1 species
AGUGAACGCUGGCGGUAGGCCUAACACAUGCAAGUCGAACGGCAGCACAGUAAGAGCUUGCUCUUACGGGUGGCGAGUGGCGGACGGGUGAGGAAUACAUCGGAAUCUACUUUUUCGUGGGGGAUAACGUAGGGAAACUUACGCUAAUACCGCAUACGACCUACGGGUGAAAGCAGGGGAUCUUCGGACCUUGCGCGAUUGAAUGAGCCGAUGUCGGAUUAGCUAGUUGGCGGGGUAAAGGCCCACCAAGGCGACGAUCCGUAGCUGGUCUGAGAGGAUGAUCAGCCACACUGGAACUGAGACACGGUCCAGACGCCUACGGGAGGCGGCAGUGGGGAAUAUUGGACAAUGGGCGCGAGCCUGAUCCAGCCAUACCGCGUGGGUGAAGAAGGCCUUCGGGUUGUAAAGCCCUUUUGUUGGGAAAGAAAAGCAGCAGGUUAAUACCCCGCUGUUCUGACGGUACCCAAAGAAUAAGCACCGGCUAACUUCGUG